rnacentral:rRNA from 1 species
GAUGAACGCUGGCGGCGUGCCUAAUACAUGCAAGUCGAGCGAACAGACGAGGAGCUUGCUCCUCUGACGUUAGCGGCGGACGGGUGAGUAACACGUGGAUAACCUACCUAUAAGACUGGGAUAACUUCGGGAAACCGGAGCUAAUACCGGAUAAUAUAUUGAACCGCAUGGUUCAAUAGUGAAAGACGGUUUUGCUGUCACUUAUAGAUGGAUCCGCGCCGCAUUAGCUAGUUGGUAAGGUAACGGCUUACCAAGGCAACGAUGCGUAGCCGACCUGAGAGGGUGAUCGGCCACACUGGAACUGAGACACGGUCCAGACUCCUACGGGAGGCAGCAGUAGGGAAUCUGCCGCAAUGGGCGAAAGCUUGACGGAGCAACGCCGCGUGAGUGAUGAAGGUCUUCGGAUCGUAAAACUCUGUUAUUAGGGAAGAACAAAUGUGUAAGUAACUAUGCACGUCUGGACGGUACCUAAUCAGAAAGCCACGGCUAACUACGU